UUUGGGAACUAUUCCCAAGUGGCCGGAAAGGCUUUCUAAAGUUCCUUCUAGAGCCAUUGUCAUGAAAAACGGGUUUGAAGCAGAUGCGAGGAGGUGGGCAAGACGAGUUGCUUAUUACAGGGAUUCUCUGAACUUGGAGUUGAAACCUCCAGCUGUCCGCAAUAUCAUGGACAUGAACGCACUCUUCGGAGGAUUUGCUGCAGCCCUUGCAUCUGAUCCUGUGUGGGUUAUGAAUGUCAUCCCAUCUCGGAAGCAAUUAACUCUUGACGUGAUUUAUGACAGAGGUCUCAUCGGUGUUUACCAUGAUUGGUUAGUCACUUUUGCUUUUUAUAUAUUUGGUCCAAACCAAGACGUGGCAUUGAGUAAUAAAACCCCUUUUAUAUUGGUUCGUGCAGGUGUGAACCCUUUUCAACGUAUCCCCGUACGUAUGAUUUCAUCCACCUAUCAGGAAUUGAAUCACUGACAAGCAAAUCCAGGUAUAACCAUUCUCAGUUGCUAAACAUGUCUCUCUGUUCUAUCAACUUCACCUAAACUGAAUUGUUUGAUAUGCAUACAGGUGUAGCCUAGUAGAUCUAAUGGUAGAGAUGGACAGAAUAUUGCGUCCAGAAGGAAAGGUACUGAUCCGAGACACUCCUGAGGUGCUAGACAAAGUAGCACGAAUGGCCCAUGCUGUAAGAUGGUCUUCUUCAAUACAUGACAAAGAACCUGAAUCUCAUGGAAGAGAGAAGAUCCUUGUCGCAACCAAACCUCUCUGGAGAAUGCCAUCAAACUCGCACUAAGGCCACACGUUAAAAAGGAAAAAAGGAAAAGAGAGGAAGAAGGUCUUCCCAGUCUUGUAGAUAACAGUCGCUUUCUCUCCAGCCCCCCCCCCAUCUGUCUGUCCUUAAGACACCAUCCUGAUGAUAUACCUUUUUUGUGUUCGGUGACGUUGCUUCCAGAAUGUAUCGCAAUCAUGUAAUGUCCUGAUAAUGUUAAUUCUUGGUCACACGUGGUUCUGUCAAUGAUUUUUAUCUGCGGGGUCUACCUUGUGACCUACAUGAGUAAAGUAUGCAUGUGACUCUUUUGUACUGGAGACCAUGUAUAUUAGGUGCACAUCCUUAAUACUUAUUUAUGUAUUGAAUACUGACAGUUCUAUGAUUCAAUGUUCAGUAAAAGAGAUUCAAUUGUUGUAGUUUGAUUGAUUUUGGGUGAGAGAAGAGCCUUCUCUUUUUCAGUACUUGACUUCAGGUGUGGAGACAUUUUUGUAAAAAAAAUCUGAGAGAGAGAGGGCGACUGAAGGACAUUAAUGCAGACAAAAGGUUUGGCUGGUAUCGUCUUCUUCUGAACCAUAUUUGUUACCUCAAUAAAUGAUCUUAUAUGAUGAUAUAACAUGUCGAUAGAAUUAGAUCAUUUUUGUCUGUUUGAAACGUAGCAUCGGAAGCACUAGAGGAUUCAGUUAGAUGUGAACCUUGGGCAUAUCAUGGUACUGUCUUCUAGAAAAGUCCUAUGUCUUUUGAUGUCCAUUAUCAUUGAUUCUAAAAGUCUUCUGGUUUGUUUCUGUGGUCAGUAAUGCCUAUAUACGACAUUCCUAAUAUGUUGUUAUGUUUGCAACAUAAUGUUAUAAUAGUCGCAGGCAUAUAGUUUCAUGUCCCUUGUAACCUGUUGAAAUAUCCACAUGGGUAUGGUCCGCAGUCUGGUCUCUUCGAUGUUAACAUUCACGUACACUAGUCAAGAGGAACCGUUUUGGUGAAAUAAAGGUUAUGUUAAAGUUGUACUUUAUAAUUUCCAUGGUUGAAGUAUAUGAUCAUGUUCUGCUAAUUGAAGCUGAGUUAAUUUUAUCCUUUAUAGUAAUUACCAAAUUAAACCCAACAAUGAAAAUGACGUUCUUCUCUAUAUCAUUACACAAAGUAAAAUAAUAUAACAAGACGUGUGUUAUACUAAUAGACAACAAUUGAUCAAAAAAAGUUUUGUAGUAAGUUGUGUUGCGUGCUUGUUGGUGGUGGUCGGUUAAUCUUUGGGAGCUGACAUUCCCAUGUGGUCCAAACCGAACCAAACCAAUAUGAUCCACCACAUUUUUUCCUUCCUUCAUAUUUGCUCCCAUGAUUUAAAUGUUUCUAAUUCUUAUUUUACUGAUCCAGACUUUCGGUUCAAUUAAUUCUGCCUUUGUAAACACUAAACAUUAAACACUUAUUUCCAUCAAAACAUUAAUCGCAGUUUUGUAUUUUUUUCUAACAUACCCAACAAGAGUUGUUGGUAUGCAUUCAACUGUAGCUAAUAGUGGAAUGUCUUUUCGGUUGACACAAGCUCGCUUCUUCAUGUCGUUACUUACAAAAGAAUAUAGAUUCUUUCACAACUCCAAGAUCCUAUAGCCUAUUUGAUUAUGAUCUAGGAGUUAGAUUAGAUGAACGGGCUUGUCAAUAAUGCACGAUAGAUUCAUAUUAAUAUGUGGGGUUUGCUUGACAACAGUCUUUUUAAUAAUUUUAUUGAGCAAAAAAGUCUAUAUUUUCGAGAAUUAAGAAAGAAAUGAGAGAGAGACUGCAGAAAAAACGCGCGUGAGGUAGAAAAGAUGUUAAAAAGUUGGCAAAGUCAACCGAGAGUUCUUCUGGGGAAAAGAGAGGUCUCGUGCAUUCGUAAGAGCAUCCACAAUGGUGAUACCCAUUGUGGAGUCCUUAGGAAUAAAAUAUUCUUUUUUUUUUUUUUUUGAAUAGUUAAGUACUCUUGUAAAAAAUGUGUGUACAAUGGUGAACCCGAAAUUGAAAUCCUUAGGAAUAAAAAAAUAUAUAUUUUAUUCUUGUUUAGUGAAAUAUAAUUUUUAUAUAUUGAAUGAUUAAAUAGAAUAACUUAACAUCAACUAUUAGAAAUAAACUUUAAAAAUAAUAAUUAAACAUAUAAAUAUAACAAUUAAAAAUAAAAACAAUAAAUAUAAAGAAAUCAAGAAACACAAAUUAAACAUAAAGAUACAUUAAUUAAACAUUAAGAUACAAUAAUUAAACAUAACAAGGAAUUUUUUAAAAAUACAAUAAUUAAACAUAAAGAUAGAAGGAUUUUUAAUCCUCGUCACCAAAUUUGUUCCAAAUAUGCUCGACUAAAUCAUUUUUCAGAUGGUCAUGUAUUCUCCUAUCUCGAACAUCAUUCCGACUGGGAAAAAUAUUAUUGAGAAUUGUAGGAAUCUCGGUUUCCACCUGUGAACUUCUCAUGACGUCACCUUCUUCAAAUUCAGAUAUAUCAUAACGAAUGUAUCCAUCCCGUUCAUCUUCGACUAUCAUGUUGUGUAGUAUGAUACACGCUCUCAUAAUCUUCCCUAUCUUUGCUUUGUCCAACGUAAGAGCCGGGUUUCUCACAAUCGCAAAUCGCGCUUGUAAUACUCCAAAAGCCCGCUCCACAUCUUUUCGGGUUGCUUCUUGAUGUUUAGCAAAUAACUCUUGUUUUGGUGAUUGAAGGAGUGAGAUGGAUUGGAUAAAGGUUGACCAUUUUGGAUAUUACAGGGAUUCUCUGAACUUGGAGUUGAAACCUCCAGCUGUCCGCAAUAUCAUGGACAUGAACGCACUCUUCGGAGGAUUUGCUGCAGCCCUUGCAUCUGAUCCUGUGUGGGUUAUGAAUGUCAUCCCAUCUCGGAAGCAAUUAACUCUUGACGUGAUUUAUGACAGAGGUCUCAUCGGU
rnacentral:lncRNA from 1 species